rnacentral:rRNA from 1 species
UGGGGAAUUUUGGACAAUGGGGGAAACCCUGAUCCAGCCAUCCCGCGUGUGCGAUGAAGGCCUUCGGGUUGUAAAGCACUUUUGGCAGGAAAGAAACGUCAUGGGUUAAUACCCCGUGAAACUGACGGUACCUGCAGAAUAAGCACCGGCUAACUACGUGCCAGCAGCCGCGGUAAUACGUAGGGUGCAAGCGUUAAUCGGAAUUACUGGGCGUAAGCGUGCGCAGGCGGUUCGGAAAGAAAGAUGUGAAAUCCCAGAGCUCAACUUUGGAACUGCAUUUUUAACUACCGGGCUAGGGUGUGUCAGAGGGAGGUGGAAUUCCGCGUGUAGCAGUGAAAUGCGUAGAUAUGCGGAGGAACACCGAUGGCGAAGGCAGCCUCCUGGGAUAACACUGACGCUCAUGCACGAAAGCGUGGGGAGCAAACAGG